rnacentral:rRNA from 1 species
CCUACGGGUGGCAGCAGUGGGGAAUAUUGCGCAAUGGGCGAAAGCCUGACGCAGCGACGCCGCGUGAGGGAUGAAGGUCUUCGGAUCGUAAACCUCUGUCAGCAGGGAAGAACGGUCACUGUGCUAAUCAGCCGUGAAUUGACGGUACCUGCAAAGGAAGCACCGGCUAACUCCGUGCCAGCAGCCGCGGUAAUACGUGGGGUGCGAGCGUUAAUCGGAAUUACUGGGCGUAAAGCGGUCGUAGGCGGUAUGUCAAGUCAAGGGUGAAAUCCCCGGGCUCAACGCGGGAACUGCCUUUGAAACUGGCAAACUGGAGUGAGUGAGAGGAGAGUGGAAUUCCAGGUGUAGGAGUGAAAUGCGUAGAUAUCGGGAGGAACACCAGUGGCGAAGGCGACUAACUGGGACAUAACUGACGCUGAGGAGCGAAAGCGUGGGUAGCAAACUGGAUUAGAUACCCGGGUAGUC